rnacentral:rRNA from 1 species
CCUACGGGUGGCAGCAGUGAGGAAUAUUGGUCAAUGGCCGGAAGGCUGAACCAGCCAAGCCGCGUGAAGGACGAAGGUGCCAAGCAUUGUAAACUUCUUUUGUCAAGGGACAAAAUCAGGCUCGAGAGCCUGACCGAGGGUACUUGAAGAAAAAGCAUCGGCUAACUCCGUGCCAGCAGCCGCGUUAAUACGGAGGAUGCGAGCGUUAUCCGGAUUGAUUGGGUUUAAAGGGUGCGUAGGGGGACUGUUAAGUCAGCGGGAAAAGCCCGGGGCUCAACCCCGGCGAGCCGUUGAAACUGGCUGUCUUGAGAUGUCGAGAGGUAUGCGGAAUGCGCAGUGUAGCAGUGAAAUGCUUAGAUAUUGCGCAGAACUCCGAUUGCGAAGGCAGCAUACCGGCGGCGAUCUGACGCUGAGGCACGAAGGCGUGGGUAUCGAACAGGAUUAGAUACCCUAGUAGUC